UACGUAGGAGGCGAGCGUUGUCCGGAUUGACUGGGCGUAAAGCGCACGCAGGCGGUUGCUCGCGUGGGGUGUGAAAUCUGGCCGCUUAACGGCCAGGCGCCAUCCCAUACGGCGCGACUGGAGUGAUGCAGAGGUCGAUGGAAUUGCCGGUGUAGUGGUGAAAUGCGUAGAGAUCGGCAGGAACACCCAGGGGGAAACCAGUCGACUGGGCAUCUACUGACGCUGAGGUGCGAGAGCGUGGGGAGCGAACCGG
rnacentral:rRNA from 1 species